rnacentral:misc_RNA from 1 species
GAUGAAGAACGCAGCGAAAUGCGAUAAGUAGUGUGAAUUGCAGAAUUCAGUGAAUCAUCGAAUCUUUGAACGCACAUUGCGCCCCUUGGUAUCCCGAGGGGCAUGCCUGUUCGAGCGUCAUUUCACCACUCAAGCCUGGCUUGGUGUUGGGCGACGUCCCCUUUGGGGACGCGCCUCGAAACGCUCGGCGGCGUGGCACCGGCUUUAAGCGUAGCAGAAUCUUUCGCUUUGGAAGUCGGUGCCCCGUCUGCCGGAAGACCUACUCGCAAGGUUGACCUCGGAUCAGGCAGGGAUACCCGCUGAACUUAAGCAUAUCAAUAAGCGGAGGA